GACACAGGAGCUUGGUGGGCUGCAGUCCAUGGGGUUGCAAAUGACUGAGCAACUGAGCAUGUAUGCACUGACAGAAGGGUAAAUUCUGGGGGUAUGUCAUCAUUUUGGUCCCCCCAAAAUCCAGAGCAGUCUUAGCUGGUAGCUUCCCUCAUCCAGGCUUGGAUAUUGUCAUAGUUCACAACUCACUUCACUGCUCUGACUCUCUUCUUAAGAACCACAGCUUCCAGUGGUUGCCCUAGACUGGCAGAUGGGCUGAACUCUAAAAUGAUGUUUUACAAGAAGGCAGUUCUUGCUGUGGCUGCAUUUAUAUUACAGAAGCUUCACUGGGGAGGCACACUGUUCAAACUUGUGUGUUGGAGGGAAUAGGGAGAGGAGGCAGUUAAUAUGGUUGCCCAGCCUGAAGCUGGCCCAUAUCCUAGACUGUCAGUAACUUUUCCAAAAGUGAGCUCCAGUAGCCAACAACCUCAAGUUGACCUUGAGGACUUAGCAGCAAUGUCAGGUCCCAUCAGGGUCUGAAACAUCUCCAGAGGCAUUUGGUCUACAAACUCAGUGAGCAGCCAUCCACCUCACAUUUGUCGCCAUUCUGCUUUUAGGAAACAGCAAACUGUGAAAUUUCAGGAUCCCUAUGUCAAGGUCUUAGGAGCCAGAUGCCCCCAACAGUCUCUUUUCAGAGAAUAGCAGCAAGAGACCAACUGUCAUCUGUAUGUUUGGUUUUCUGUCUUCAUGGGUUGCUAUGGGGCAGGCGUCGGUGAGUGUGUGUGGAAUGGGGGUGCAUACGGGGAGUGGGGGUGGGAGAACAGAGAUUAGACAUGGAGAAAAUGAGCUUAAAUGGAGAGCAUGGAUUUCAUGACUAUAAACCAAGACCAGUGACCUAGGGGAGACUGAUACUGCAGCCUUCCAGAGGAGUAUUCAGCAUCCUGGCUACAGCCUCAGGCUGAGGCUGAGAGCAUGUUGAUCUGAUGGCAAUGGUGGUGGUGGCAAUGAUGUGCAGGAAGACGGAAAAUAAUUCAUCCGGCCUGACUGUGUUCAUUACCACAUAGCUGGCAUGGUUGUCUCACGCAAGCACCGAGAAGAUAUGAAACUAAAUCAACAGACCCUGAUUUGUUGGCUCAACCAAGUAUAAACUAGCCACUGGAAAAUCAAGUUGAAAACCUAGGACAAAUAUAUGAAAGGGACAAGCCACAGCUUGCAGGAAAGAAAAUGUUUGCAGAAAACUCCAGUGCUACAGGUUUAUCUAAGAAAAAAGAGCAUCCUCUGAUGGAGAGAAAUAGGUGCUGAAGCUAAUAGGAGGAUUAUGAAAUGCCCUCUCAGCAUUCAACUUAUCAGGUCAUCAUGGAACCAGCUGAGGACUUGGGUGAAGGAGAUUAUAAGAUGGGAAAUGGAAAUUAAACUUCAUGGCCAGCUUCCUGGCUAUCUAUUCCAGGUCAUCAGCCUCUUUCCUAGAUUUUUGUGUCACUCUGUACGUUUAAAAACUCUUUCAGAUCCAACAGAAUCAUUGGACACA